rnacentral:rRNA from 1 species
GACGAACGCUGGCGGUGUGCUUAACACAUGCAAGUCGAACGGAAAGGCCCUGCUUUUGUGGGGUGCUCGAGUGGCGAACGGGUGAGUAACACGUGCGUAACCUGCCCUUGACUUUGGGAUAACUUCAGGAAACUGGGGCUAAUACCGGAUAGGAGCGCCUGCUGCAUGGUGGGGGUUGGAAAGUUUCGGCGGUGGGGGAUGGACUCGCGGGUUAUCAGCUUGUUGGUGGGGUAGUGGCUUACCAAGGCUUUGACGGGUAGCCGGCCUGAGAGGGUGACCGGCCACAGUGGGACUGAGAUACGGCCGAGACUCCUACGGGAGGCAGCAGUGGGGAAUAUUGCAUAAUGGGCGGAAGCCUUAUGCAGCAACGCCGCGUGCUGGAUGACGGCCUUCGGGUUGUAAACCGCUUUCGCCUGUGACGAAGCGUGAGUGACGGUAAUGGGUAAAGAAGCACCGGCUAACUACGUG